UUUUUUUUUUAGUUCUGCUUGUUUGUCUUCAUGAAUGACAAUUGCUUAAAACUCUUGAGACACCAUACAGAUAGAAACUUGUCAAGAAAUAAGAUCCUUUGUUCAAGUUGUGAAAGCCAAAAGGAGAACUCUUAAACAAUCACUUUGAUGAGCUGAGAGUGGAGGAAUAGCUACCAAAUACUCUCUUCAAGACUGCUUUUUAUUUAAUAGUUCUGCAUAAUUCUAAUUUAUGAUUCAUUUGUUGAUGUAGCAAUUAAGCCCUUGCUCUGUUGUGCUCAAGAUUCACAGGGUACUUAGGAACAAGGGUUUAAUAUUUUUGCUCUGCAGUACACUUAUAAUCAGUGUUUACUUUAUAACAAAUUGAAAGCACAGUGAGGUACUUUAAAAAGAAUAAUUUUCUGAAUAAAAAAAUCAGUAUAUACAAAAGGGAGUUGAAUCCCAUAUCUAAUUAUCUGUUAUACAUGGUUAAUAAAUAGGAAAUCUGUUUUUUAAGUGUCAAAAUUUAAUUAUGGCCUAUUAUUAUAUUGGCGAAAAGAGAUAGUACAUGAUUUAACUUCUCAGAACAAAUUAUGUUUUGCUUUGUGUAAAAAUUAUAUAUAUAUGUAUAUGUCAAUAGUGUUUAAACAAAUGUCAGAUGCUAUAGAUUACAAGUGCUGUGUAAUUGCUGUGCUCCAUCUCCUUCUCUUUUAUGAUCUUCAUAAGUGGUGUGAUUCUUUUUUUAAUGUUUAGUCUCUUGCUUUAAAAAUAAAUAUUUUACUUGUAGCCAUAAAUUUUUGUUUACAUUUACCUGUAUGAGGCAUGUCAAGUCUCUUCUGUCAGGAAGCAUAACUUUAGCCAUGUCACUGUCAGUUUGGGGGAAUGCAGGAGAAAGUGCCUCAUUAAGUAGUGUAGGCUGCCCUUGAACUUAUUCCAUAACCCAGACUGGCUUCAAACUGAAGAUCCUCUUGCCUUAGCCUUCCAAGUGCUUGGAUUACAAGCAUGUGCCACCACUCUCAGCUUUAGUCUACUGCCAAAUAUGGGCUACAAGCUAAAAAUAGUUUUUACAUUUUGGACGGAAAAAAAUCAAAAGAUUAUUUCAUGUAUAUAAACAUUAUAUGAAAUACAAAUUUUAGAAUCCAGACAUAAAAUUUUAUUGGAAUAGUCAUACCCAUUUAUUUACACAUUAUUUGUGAUUGCUUUCCUGUUACAGCAACAGAGUUGAAUAGCUACAAUAAAGAGUAUCUGGCUCAUACAAACUAAAAUAUUUACUAACUGACCCUUUAAAGAAAAGAAAAAUUGCCUUUUCAGAUCAUAAGUAUCCUGUAUUGUGUAAGCAUUGGUAUUAUUGCCAAGAAAAUGUGAUGCAUGUUGGUGGAAUUCUGAGGUGAUAUGUUUUUGAGGGGAAAUCUGGAAUACUAAAAAUAGAAAACCAAAGUUGUGUUUCUGAGAUUAAUGGGAAACAGUAUGAUUCUGAACUGAUUACUUUAGUUUUCCAUUUCCUGUCAGAUCAUUUUCUUUCUUUCCAGUACUAGGAAUUGAACUCAGGACCUCACACUUUCCAGGCAGAUGCUUACACCAUUGUGCUAAAUCCCUGGCCCUGUCACUUUGUUUUAUUUAAUUUUGCCCAGAAAGAUAUGUGUAGGAUGAGUGAUAUGUCUUUUAGGGAGAUCAUUUGUAAGAUAUCCCCACGAUGUGUCAAACUUAAGCAAGCAACCAUGUCCAGUACUUUGCUUUUUGUUUUUUAAAUUUCUUUAGUUGUCAAAAUAUAUUUCUAUAUGUCCUUACCUAAAUUAUAUUCAAAUCAAGAAGCCAAAUCACACUUUUCCACAAGCCAAGCCAGUCAGUGUACGGGGUGGAGACCAGAGGAGCAGCACUACUCUCUCCAUCAACAGUGGGCUAAUUGGAGGCAAGUUGGGCUGAGGUGAUAGCAACUGAAGUAAACAAAAAUAACAAUGCUUGUAUUGUUUGAUUGACUUUGCAGGCCUAAAGCUGAUAGUCUGAGCAUCUAUUUGGAGGAUAACAAUAUGCAUUAUAACAACUAUAAGGGACUUCCUUCUGUCUUGUUUUUGAAAUCUAAUAUUUUGCUGUUUUGUUUUAUUUUUGUGUCUGGUAACCUGAGCAACUGUUUUGGAGAUAACAGUAUGUAAUAAAACAACCAUAGGAAUUGUUAAAUUUCUUAUCAUCUUGCUUUGAAAACCUAUAUAGCUAUUGUUCUUUGUUGUUGUCUUGCUUUUGUUGCUGUUGUUUUUUUUUUUUGAUUUGUUUUCUUGUUGUUUUUGUUAUUUUUUCCUCUUUAAAAUAAAAGUGUAUUAAAUAAAUAAUACUCAAAAUGGAAAGAAACAUUCAAAAGAAGGCUUUGUUUAAAUUUAGUAGCUUGAGAGUGACACCUUUUAUUGCAUAUUUUGAAACAUUUUAAAAGUUCUUAGCAAAAAGAUGCAUUUCUGUAUUGCAGGUAAAUUAUUUUUAGAAGCAUGUUCUAUUUCAGUAGAUACGUGGAAUGAAAGAUUUUUCAAAUGUAUUAUACUACAUAAAAUGAAACAAUGUUAGGGGGACUACCUGAUUCUUUAUGUCCAGUCUUAUUCUCUUCUUCUCUAAAUAAAAACUUCUGAUCAGCUAAAUAAAAUUUUUCUUUUGCAAUGACAGAUUUCUAUCCAGAUUUUUUUUUUUUAGAUAAUCUUGUAAUCCAUCUGGUCUUUUGAAAUACACAAUUACACAUUGAAAUGUAUCUAUGUUUUCCACAUCAUCUGAACAGUUUUCUAUUGCUUAUUUUUUUUCAAUGUGUGUGAACUGUGAGUCAAAAAUACCAGAAGCAAGUACAAUUAAGUAAGAUAUGUUCCAUGACCACUGAGUCUAAUGUUCUCAUAGACGUUUAGGUACAUCUCAAAGUACUUUUGUUAAAUAAUUAUUAGUAUAAGUCAGACUUCUGCUAUUUCACAUCACCUGAGAAAAUCUGAACAUGCGUACUGAAAGAAGGUAGUCACUCUUGGUUUCGGAUCUUACAGAGCUCUAUAGUGAAUGUACUUUGAUAUAUUAAAUACGGAUUUUUAUGUGUGCAUUUUUAGAGGUUUAAACUGAGAACUCGUUACUUUUCAUCCAAAAAUAUCUUUUAAAAGAAAGUAAUUUCUGAUGUUGAUCUUUAUUUUGUGUCCUAUAAAGAAUCUCUCAAUUUUAUUUCAAACAGAGUAUCUGUUUAUACUUUUCAAAAGCAGAUUUCUGGUUUCAAAACCAAGCUAAAAUACAUUGUGGGUGUUUUGAUCAUUUCUUAUGAUGAUGCAUCCUUUUAGCCAUAAUGAGUACCACUAAUACACUAGAAUUAAAAGUGGAAAUCACAUCUUUUAGAUUAUCUUGGAAAUGUUCCACCUAAUUCUUUUUAAAAAGUUUUCCAAGAAUUGUACUGAUUGUAUAAUAAUAACUUUCUGUGGAUUUUAGUGUUUUGUGAAUAUGUAUGGUAGUUGUGAUUACUGUUGCUGCUUUUUCUUAACAGUUUCAUAACCCCUUCUUAAACAAUUUUGAGACAAAGUAUGUGGACUCAAACAUAAUGUAUAUUCUUCCUGAAACUGUUAGUGAUGGACUUCUUGGACUCCUACCUGCUUCUUGGUUGAAAGUCCCCCAUAGUCCCCCAUCGGAGCAUCUUUCUUUAGUGCAUGUUAACUCCCACGGUGAUGACCCAGAGUCCCUUGAUUUGCAUCUCAAGUUUGCUAUGUACCAGUUGUACGAUCUCUGUGCCUCUAUUUCCUCAUCUAUAAACUGGAAAUGCUGAGAGUGCCUUCUUUAUAGAAUUGUUGUGUUUAUCAAAUUAUAGGCUUUAUUUUCUUAGAAUACAGUUUAGUACUAUAUUCAGUUUGUCAGCUCUUAAUACAUUCCUAAAUGCUGUCUGUAAUGUUCUUGUUUAAUGGAUCUGUGAAACCUUAUAUUCUAAAGUCAGAACCAACUUGUCAGAAUUUUAGGAAGAAAUAAAGAGGUACAUUAAAGCAUUCUGAGAAGCUAUUUAACCUGUCUAGAAUGAUGUUUCAUACAUAGGAGAUAUUCAAUAAUUACAAUAAGUAUAUAAAAAUUUUACAUAUUCAGUGAUGAUGUCAUUCUUAAAAUUCAUGAUGACUAAAUUCUGGAAAUCAAAACCAUUUGAUUUCAGUUUGAGACAGUACAUUAACUCUUUGCAUUAAUAUAUGGAUAAAAUAUGAAUAAUGAAUAGCACAUACCUGGUCUUAUGGUAUGUAAAGCACUAUUCUCAAUUUAUAUUGCUAUUAACUAAUUCUUUUUAAUUUUUAUACUAUUAAUUCAUUGAUGAAGCAAUUAAGUGUCUAGGCAGUCAUAAAUAAUGAGGAUUCAAACCCAGGAAGUUUGGCUCCAGAAUCCUUGUUUUUAAUCCUAUGUAACAAAUAAGCCAUAAUUCCUAAAAGUUAUUCAGUACAACCUUUUUUCCCCACACUUAAUAUUCACCGCAAUUUCCAUGAAGUAUUGAAUGUGCUGAUUUUUGCCUAACUCUGCCUCCUUUUGCUCUUCCAAGCAAGUCUAAAGCACCAGUACUGAAAAUGUGCAGCUAAUUGGAAUUGCCCAGAGAGCUUUUAUUACUACUGAUGCUUUUAAAUCUCAGAAAUUCUGACUCCAUCUCUGCGGUCUGAGAAGUCCAGAUUUUUAAAAGCUCCUUUGAUGAUUCUAAUAUGUAGCAAAGUUUUAGGACCACUAGUCUAAGGGAAAAAUGAAAUUGGCCAACAAACCCUAGGCGAGACUGAGUGUGCCUGAAGGAGUAGGGUGUGGAGGUAGUAUGGUCUACACCCCAGACCAUCCAAGGGUUGAAACUCAGGCCAAUCUGCUUUUGUUCUUUUUUUGUUUGUUUGUUUUUUGUCAUUCUGAGACAGAGUCUAGUUAUGCACUUCAGACUGGCCAUCGUGCUCAUUUGUAGCGCAGGCUGGUGUAGAGCUUGCAGUGAUCCUCCAGGCUCCUCUAAAGUGCUGGGAUUAUAGGCAUGCACCACCACACACAGCUUGCUUUGGUUCUUGUUGACCAUUAUGAAAACAAGCAGAGAAUGCUAGGUGGAAUACUAUGUGAAGGUGCUGUUUGAAAAACAAAAUGGCUAAAUAAUGCUUUCAUUUAGGGAUACCAUCUUAAUGCUCCAAUCAGAAGAGCAGCCUGGUUUUACUAAACUGUUUGGAAAAACUGAUAUUUGUUUCAAAUGUUUAUGGCUUAUUGUCUCAGAAGAUUAACACCAAAUCCUCAAAAAUGUAGUGACGAGCAAUGACUCAUUUUAGCUCAUGUCAAAACAAUGCACUUUUGUAAUUUUCCUGUCCUUAGAGAAGCCAUUAAACACUAAACAAAUGCCUCAAAAUGAAACCAAUUGAGUGUUUUAAAUUAUGUACUCAUGUUUGGCUAUUAGCCAGAUGUUGGUCAGAAAAGCUUUACCAUACAUCAAGACCCAUGAUUUGUGCUGACAGUGAUACUACAAUUUAUGCUGCUUAAAUAUAAGCAAUGUGUAUUCUAAAGCUUAGUAGUCAAACAGAGCUUAUAACAUAAACAAUUUGUGUAACUAGGUUCUCAGCCAAGUGAUUUUUCCCUUUGUUAAAUCUGGAGAGGAUGUACCUAAGGGAUAAGGUAUUUUUCUCUGCAUUAUCUUGUUGAUAAAUAGCACAGAUUCCAACAAGCUUAACAGUCUUACACAGGGUUUUUGUAUUUGUUUUUGUAUAAGUAGUGCUACAUGUCUUGAUCAUAGCAAAGCUCAGUAUAAUGUUCUACAUGUAGUAGGCACAAAAAGUAUAUGUUGAUCAUAAUAAUGAUGUCAACAAAUAAAGAACAAUGUGGCUUUUUCAUUAAUUUCCUAUUAUCUGUCUGCCAGUAUUAAAUGAAGUUUUAUAAGAACUAUCCUGCAGAUGAGGAUUUAGCUCAGCAGCAAAAGUGCCUGCCUGGCGAGCGCAAGGUUGUGAGUUCGAUCCCCAGCACCAAAAAAAAAAAAAAAAAAAAAAUCAUUCUGCCAACUGCAUUUUAUUUUUCAGCAAAAAAGUAAUUAAGUGAUUUGAUUGUCCUUACUGGUUUCCUAAAUAAUGGCUACAUUUAUGAUAUUAGACUUUUAUAAAAAACACUUAUUAUAAUUGACUCAUAAUAUCAAUAUAUUUUUUAUACCAUACAGGUGUGUGUGUGUGUGUGAGUGUGUGUGUGUGUGUGUGUGUGUGUAUGGGGUUUGACAACCAGAAGUCUAGGUUCAACUGUGACUAACUCAUGGCCCACCUUUUUUUUUUUUUUUUUUUUUGUCCCCUUUUUGUGAGUGAAGAGUAAUUACCGUGGGCCACAUAUAAAAUACACAAUAUAGAAUUGGGAGGCCACAGUCUGGCUACAGCUAGACACAUCCAGGACCUAGAAAAGAGUAGGUAUUCCAUAGAUAUUUGUUUAACUGAAUUGAGCAAAUGUUCUACUGAUACUCAUUUUCUUUUUUCCUCUCCCUCCCUCUCUCCCUUGUUUCUUCCUUCCUCCCUUCCUGUCUUCCUGCCUUCCUGCCUUCCUGUCUUCCUCCUUUCCUUCUCCUUUCUUUUGAAAUGAGAAUCAAUCUCAGAUGCAGUUCCGUAAGUGAACAUAGAGUAGGUAAAGAAAAUGCUUUGGGUAAUUCCAUCGCAUAUUGAUGUGCUGUCAUUCCUAAAGAAGUUAUUCUAAUCCAUCAAUAAUUAUUAUCUAGUUGUCAGCCCAUUCUAAGAUGAAAAAUAGUGUGGUGGCUAGUAAUUCAAACUAUAUCUAAAACUGUCAUUUUGAUCCAAUGACUAAAUCUUAAAUAUUACAAUAAUUUGUUAUCUGUAGACACUGGAUAGCUAAGAAGGUUAACAAAGUGCUUGUCAGGAAGAGCUUCACACUAAAUCACUAGCUUGUUCUUUUUGUGAUAAAAAAUGGGUAGUGUCCACAUGUUAUAUUUUUUACUAUUCUAAUUACCUGUCCUGAAAAAGGAUUCAUGGAAUUUGGAAGGUUUCACAUUAGGGCAAACAGACCAGGAUUGAUGUGACAUCUGUGUGAAGAUAUCUAAGAUUUACACUGUAAAUUGGAAAGAUAAAAGUGGAUAGUGAAUUUGAUUAAAAUCUAUAAAAUCAUAAGCAUUAUGGCAGGGCAAACACAUUCAUGCUUACCCAAACUUAAGACUGCUAGAAUCAGAAGCCUGAAAGAAGUACUUUGUCAAAGAGCAGUAUCACCUCAUGAUGAAGGAUACAAGCAAAUAGUUAUACAGCUGAGUUCAGUUCCCUAUUCUGCCCAUUUGAAGUUCUAUGUCACAGUUUCUUUAAACUGUAUGUGACAGUUUCUUUAAACAUAUAGUAAACACCGUGUGUAUGUGUACAUAUGUAUACACAUGAGAUUAGGUACAUGUACACAUAUUAAGUAUACUGACUGGGUGUGCUAAAAACUAGGUUUAGAAGAAAUUUGAUUUACAGUUGAAUUCAAAGUUUGCUUAUGUCUUCCAUUCUCUUUGCAUCCACCGUGAGAGAUGAGGCCCUGGAUUGGUUGGGUCAGUGACCCCAACAAAGAGUGUUUCUGUUUUAAGAUAUUUUGCACAAAAAACAACUAAUCUCUUUUCUUUUAUUCCCCAAGCUAAAAUAAUGAUAAAAUCAUCAUCCCUGUUCCCUCAUUUACUUACAAUAAUUUGUCCUAAAUGAAAAACACUUCAUUUGGUAAUAGAAAAGUAUGACUUCAAGUAAUAGAAACAAGUCCAAGCUAAUUGAGUUAAGCAAGAUUGUUGGCCAGGGAAAGUAACUGUUGAGAUAGGCAUCUUGUUUUUCCAAACAAAUACUCCUCCUUUAGAAUCUGAUUGGGCCUUAAUCUGCUUACCAUUUUUUCAGCUGCCCAGCUUUCAGAAAAGCACUUUACCUUGCUGGCAACAGUGAGUGUGGUGAAUGUUUUUGUUAUUGUUGUUCUUAAUGAUAAGUGUGUAGUUUUUAUUCUCAUUGUAAACAAAGGUCUGAAGGGCAACGGACCAAACUAUUUCACCAUAAGAAUGUGCUUGUUUUGUUAUGUCCAUCAUUUCUCAGUAUUUUUGUUCCUGAUCUUAGGAUAGAUCUUUCAGUAGGGAAACAACAAUAGUGCUUUCCAAUCAAGUAUUUAUAAUUACUAUAAGUAGUACAGAUGGCCUGGUAAAAUUUGUGUAAUUCUAUCACAUGUUGAUGUGCUGACAUUCCUAAAGAAGUUUUUCUAAAGCACCAGUUAUCAUUAUCUAGUUGUCAGCCCAUUCUAAGAGGAAAAUAGUGUGGUGGCUAGUAAUUCAAACUAUAUCUAAAACUAUCAUUUUGAUCCAGUGACUAAGUCUUAAGUAUUACAAUGAUUUGUUAUCUGUAGAUACUGGAUAGCUAAGUUGAAUUCUAUCAAGACAGUGUUUUUAGCACUGGAAUUUUUUUGUUAGUAGUAUGUGCUUCCAGUACAUAAUGAUUACGUUUAUCAUGGGGAGUGAUACAUAUAUAUAACACAUCGGAGUUUUUAAAAUUAUUUUUGGUCCCCUUCCUCUCUGGUACCUCUCUGUCCCCUCCAAGUCUUGGUCUCCUUCCUGUCUAUAAAAGCUGUUUCCAAUUUUUUCUUCAGUUCCUUUUUACUCUAUCCCCAUUCCUUCCUCUCCCUCCUCCUCCUCUCUAUAUCCCCUUUCCCAUUUGAAAAACAUCUUCCUACUUCCACUUCCUAUAAUCUAUUAUUUUGCUCUUUAUUUAAAUUUUGGAUUUCUCAUAUAAGGAAAAUCAGUAUUUAAAUUUGGGCAUCUGAUUUAUUUCACUUACUAUUGUGGUCACAAAGUUCAUUCAUUUACCUGUGAAUGCCUUAAGUUAUUGCUUUGUUGUUGUGUUUGUUUGUUUGUUUGUUUGACACAGGGUCUUGCUCAUGCUGGCCUCGAACUCAUAGCAAUCCUCUUUCCUCAGCACCCCCUCUUCCGUGUAACAGCUGUGUGCCACCAUGUCCAGCAAGUUUGUCAUUCUUUAUGACAUAGUCUUCCAUUGGGUACAAAUAUAUUUUCUUUACCCAUUUAUCUGUUGAUGUACAUAUGAACUGUUUCCAAGAUUUAGCUAUUAUAAAUUGUAACAUUGGCAUUGAGAUCACAGAGCCUUUUAAACAUUGAUUUUUGUUAGUUUGAUAUCUUACUAUCAAACCUAGCAAACCUUAAAGUUUCCUUUUCUUUUGUAUUUCUAAAUUUUUCUUUAUGACUGUCUCUUCUCAAUUAACCUUAGAUUCCUGCCUAUUUUACCUCCCCAUCACUGCAUCAACUAACUCCUCAUUGCCUCCAUGCCCACUUAUUUUCUGCAGGAGUCAGCUCAAUUUUCAUUUCUUGUUCUAUCAUCUUUAGUCCUAGUUGGCUCUGUUUUCUGUUUUUACCAUGUCUACAGCUUUUUAUUUCUUUCCCAACCCCUGGCAAACUUUUUGAAAGGGUAUUACCACAUUUACGGGCCUACCUCUUGAUUACCUUCUUUGGGUUAAAGUCUGGUGUCAUUGCCUACCAUCCUGAUGAAAUUGUUCGCUCAGAGGUACAUAAUGGUGACUUCAUCAUCAUAUCCAAUAGGCUUCACUCUGGUUUUAUCCUCUUCUUUUUUAUAUAUGUACCUUUUAACAUAAUUGACUGUCUGUGCAUUCCUUGAAACAUUUUUCCUUCUAAAAAAAUAGCCUCUCCAAAGUCUCUUCCUAGAGUCUAAAUUGUGUCUCUUCUACCUUCUUUCAUAGCUUAUUCCCCACUUCCUGCCCUAAAAUAUAGGUAAUGAACAUGUGGACACAGAAAGGUUAAGUGAAAUUAUGGUUGAUAUCUAGAUGUCUCCUGAGGGCCUCAUGUGCUCACUGGUGGGACUUUUGGAAGGUUAAUUGAUUUAUGGUAACUUAGAGAUGACUCGCCUUUAGAAGUGGGGUCUGGUCAGAAGAGAGGGGUCACUGGGGAAGUGACCUCUAAAGGUUUGUCUUCUUUUCCAGCUUCUCCCUUCAUUUUCUGCUUUCUGCUCACCGGCAUGAGAUACUUUUCCUGUACUGUGCCCAUCUGCCAUGCUGCUGUGCCUUGGAGCCAGCAGACUAUAGACCUAAUCCUCUACAAACUAUGAGCCAAAAUAAAUACCUCUUUUAAGUUGUGAGUGUAAGGUAUUGUAACUCAGAGACAAGAAAGUGACUAAGACAAGUGGUUUGCUAGGUUGUAGCUAGAGUUAUCCUCAAAACAUCAGUUGUCUCUUUCUUCCUGGUUAUACAGCUUCCCAACCAGAUAGUUCUAGCUUUUCCUGAACUGAGGUGUAACUAUGGGAGUUAGUUAGAUCAAUGAAAUAUGCGUAGAAGAAAUAGAUAAGCAUGUCCAAUUUGGAAGCAAGGUAUCUUUCAGACACUUUUCCCUAACCCUAUCCCCAAGCCCAUGCACUGUAACAAGAGAUAACAUAGGGUUUCUGCACUGAUCUUUACAAAUGAAGACAACUCUGAUCUUAUGAUGAGCUCUGUUAAGUUUAUUUAAAUUUGCUUAAGUAUUUUUGGAUCAUCUGUAACUUCUUGAAAUAAUUAGAAUGUAUGUAAGUCUAAAUAAGUCAUUCUGGGGACUCAUUUUUAUGAUUUUAGACUUUAUCCAAACAGAUACAUAGUGGAAAUAGUCCUUCAAUUCUGAUCUUCCAACAUUUUGUACUUUGUUACUUUGUCACAUUUUCUUUAUGCUACUGAAAUGCAUCUUAACUACUUAUUAACCCCAUUAAUUUCACAUUCACAGUUCUUUGUUCUCUGAAUCUAACUUGGUAACCAAAGCUUUCAUAUUCCCUGUUCUUAAUCCAAAGCAUAGCCCUACUAUUUCUUGAAUUUAAUUUCUUUUUUGCCCUAAUUUCCUUCCCUUAUUCAGUUAAAUCCACCUAUAAUGCUUUGUUUCUCUGUCUCCCUCUUUUUGUCUUCUUCUUCCUGUGUGAAUUGUGCCUUUCUUUUAAGAUGUAGUUCAAGUAUUACCUUUUCCAUGGUGCUCUUCCUGAACUCCAUUAGUGAUGACAUCAUUUUUUUUACCACCUCAGUGUUUUCCUUCAUAUGAGAGUGGGAGUCAUGUAUGUGGUAUGGUGUAGUGACAGUAUUUUGAAAUGAGUGAAUAAAUGAACUUGACAAUAAGUGACUUUUUUAGGAGCUAAAAUUUCUUAUUGAAUAUUAACAAAUUUUGAUGUAGACAUACAAUGAUUAUGGCCAAGAAUCAAAGCUCCCUCACAUCCUUUUGUGCUUUCUUUUCCAUUGAGGUUCUGACUCAGCAGUUCUGAGUCAGCAGAUUUGCUGCACUGUAUCACUUUCAUCUUCCAUAGCAAAGGAUAUCUUGGUGCUAACUGCUGAUGCAGUAUGACCAUGACCUAAUUUGGCCUUUCAGCAAACAAGUCCUUUCUGAUUGCUAUAUAGUGAGAAGAGGGCUAUGUGGAAAAAGAGAUGCUAUUUUCUAUUCAAGGCAGAUGAUUUGACUUAGACAACUAUGACAACUGGCUUUGCUCGUGUUCUGUUGGCAUCUUGAAAGAACAUUUGAACCAUAUUUCAGAUGCCAUUGUGUUCCUACCUCCAGAUGCCACAUUUAGAUAUCUGAUUCAGUAUUUUUAGGAUUAGACCCAAAAAUCUGUGCUUUUAAAUAUCUCCCAUGACAAACUUUAAUGAUCAGUUAGGUUUGGAAUCUCCUGGCAUAGAACGAUUAGAAGUUCAGAUAUGAGAGUUAGACCAACUUCACCUCUGACAUUACUAGUAGUGUAACCUUGGGAAAGUUACUUAGUGUCUUUGAGCUUUAGUAUGAUUAUCCAAAUGUGGACAAUAAUAGUACCUACUUUAAAAGAUUAUUAUGAGGAUUAAAUGAGAUAAUCCAUCUCAGGUGCUAGCAGUGUUUGACAUUAAGCAUUCAGUAAAAUGUAACUAUUAUUUUUGUCGUUAUUUACAAGAGAUAUUUGUGUUGUUUUAUGUAAAAUAUACAAAACAAUCUUCCAUUUCUAAAAAAAAUCAUGAAAUAGAUGUGUAUAUGUUUGUUGGUUUUCUCUUAAUGGAGUUCAUGAUUUGCCUCAAGGAUUUGAUUAAAAGUCUGUGUGAGAUUAUUUUGACUGCAGUUCUUUGUAAUUUAGAGAUUAGUCACCUUAUAUUUCUUUUUUAAUUACAAGGAAUAGACUAUUACAAAUGCUUAAUAGGAAAAUUUUAAGAACCAAAUGUUCUAAGGCAGCAUUUCUAAAACAAGUAAUGGUUAAAAUUUUAUAAUUUGUGGGCAGGAGGCAGGGAUAUGAGUAAAAAAACUACAAAGAGAGCCACCUAUUUCAAGUUGCUUUCUCAUAAAAUUAAUUCCUCUUCUGAUUAAACAUCAUAGAGUGGAACAGUGGCACUCUGAGCUAAAAUUUGAUUUGGUGGUGCCACUUAAAAAUAAACCUGAGUUUUACUUUAUGUGUGCAUAUAUAUGCACAUUACUAUGUGUGUUUUAUAUAUUCAUGGGGGAACAUCCAGAACCCUUACAGCAGGAAGAGGGUGGUUGGGGUAGGGAAAAUCAUGUAACUGAAAGGUUUUAGAGGGCUAGAGAUAAAUAGCUCUGUUAUAGAACACUUGCCUAGUGUACACAAAGGUUAUGAGUUCAUUCUCAGUACUGCAAAAACAAACAAUAAAAAGAAAAAGUUUUAGAGCUACUGAGAUAUACCAUAAUUAUUUGUUAUACCCUUCUCCCCAAUGAUAACAGAAUAGUGAAAUGUCAAAUUUUGGAGCAGAAUUAUUCAUGGCAGGGGCAAGAUUUCUGUUAGGUGAGCACAAAUUCUAGGGCAGCCAGACAUGGUGAUACACAUCUGACAGAAGGAUGGCAAGUUUUGGCAAGUUUGAGUACAGCUUGGACAAGUUAGUGACCUAGCAAGUCUUUGUCUCAAAGCAAGUGGAGAUGUAGCUUAGUUCCACCACCAAAAAAGGCAAAAGCAAAAACAAAAAACACCAAAGUAACCACCAAGCAUCUUCUUUAUAUAAUGAAGUAGUAAUAUGGCUAAUACUAGAGUGUUAAAAAAGAAUUUAUAUACUUUAUAUCCAUAUGUCAUGACUUUCCUCUGUAGAGAUUGAAAAAUCCAUUACACUGCAAAUUUUCAUUAACUGUUACUAACUUACGAUAAGUUCUAGUUCAUUUAGAUGUCUGAAGCAUAUAUUUUUAUUUCAUUUGCAUUCAACUGAAUUCUCAGAUUGCCUGGAGAGUAGAUGAUGAGACUCUUCCUAUACAGUGCCUUUCCUGUUCUUACUAGAGCAAACUGUUCACACUCUGAGCUCAUUUAUCAUUGUCAACAAAGGCUGUCAUCAUCUAAACACGCUGAGUGAGAAAUUUCAUUUCUUUGGGCAAGAAGCAUAUUAUGGGCUAUACUUUUAAUUAAGAAUCAGGCUGAUUACUUGAUAGUUGAAUGCUUUAGUUUCAGGUCAGUUUACCCUCAUUUCUCUUUCAAAUGUUAGGUAUUCUUAGCUAUCCAGAACCUAUGGAAUUCUUAAUAGGGUUGAUUUAUAUAUAAUUUCUACUCUUUCACUCAUAUGAACUUACAUCUAGUCUAAAAACCUGUGUGAGUUUCAAAGGCUUAAAAAGGAUUAAAAGGCUCUAAAAAUUUAAAUACUUCAUCCAGUGAGUAUGUUUACCUAAAUGUGUCAUCAAGCUUCUCAGUUUUCUGGUUAGAAAACCAGUUUGGGACAGACUGACUCAUGCUAUGGACUGAUAGAAUGCAAACACAUUCAGAAUUCUCUUGGCAAGAUUAAUGCAAUAAAAACAGGGUUCUGUGAGCUUUUAGAGAUGAAGUAUUUCAUUUCUCAAAUAAGUCUUCCUAUCAUUAUGAGCUUUCAAGGUAAACACACACAUGUCUUUGGUUUGGCACUGAGUAAAGUGGCAAGUAUACAUUACUACAGUAUCGUCAGUACUCCUUGCCACUUUUUGAGGAAUUUAAGGUAAUCUGGGAAGAAUUACUAAUCAACCCUUACAGUGAUAGUAAAAGUAAAAGUCUCUGAUUCUAAAUAUUAUCUUCAUAUGCAAGUAAAUAUUUUACUGGGUUUAUGAUUCACUUUUUGGGGUACAGGUCUCAAAUGCUUUGCCCUAACAGUUACCUUCAUUGUUCUCCAGUGAUCUCAUGCAAGGAAAUAGAUAACAUAACUGUUUAUGCCCCUUUUGUAGAUAGAAGCAUCAAACAAUGCAUGUUAGUUUUUUCUCCAUGUUGCCCAACAAAUUUGGAGCCAAAUUUAAAAGAUGGCCAGUGACAGUGACAUUCUGUUAGUAAGGUUAGCUGAGUAGCUCUUUUCAGGGAUGAAGAGAUGGAGAUUGGAAUGUCUUCUGGUAAAGCUUAGAGCACAAUUAAAAUGCUCAUUUUCUACUUGGUUAUAUAUGUAUCACUUGCUUUUGUUCACAAUGGUUCUAUUAGCCGAUUUUAGCCUAGGCAAAAGGAGUUAGGUAGCAUAUUAUACAUUUAUACCUCCAUUUCUGAAAUUUAGGAUAAAAUGAAAUUUUUCUAUUUACGUUAGCAAAUGGAGACAUAUUUCCACAAUCCUAUAUUGUUAUAAAAUAAAUUUAUCAGGCAGUUAUAUAGUAAUGGGUUUCAUGAAAUUUAUUUCUCAAGAGCUUUGAUCUCUUUAUUUUAUUAGUUGUCUGAUUGUUCUCAGUGUUAUUAUUGCUAAGGUCUCUCCAAAUAUGACUUUAGACACACCUAACACAAUCUUUUCUACAUAUUGUGGGUUCUCUAAUAGCAUACCAGUAACAGGUUGAGGUUUUUCUGCAUGACAUGGAGUCAGUGCAAAUGGGAAGCCAAGGGUAUUGCAUACAAUCUAAUGUACUCAUUUUCAACAGAAAUUUAAUUCUAUGACCAUAUCUUAUUUUCAUUUCUUUUCUUUGUGCCAGUGGGUACAAUUCUCUACUUGCUAAGAGUCUAUUCAGACUUCAAGCUAAUUGUUGCCUACUAGAAGCCUUCUUUUCCCUUUAUACAAAAUGAAUGCACCACUUUAAGGUCCCUGAGCACUCUUGUAUAUAUCCCUGUUAUAGCUCACAUCUAAUUACUCGGUACUACUUACAUUUCUUUUCUUUUCUUUUUUUUUUUUUUUUUUGCGGUGCGGGGAUUGAACUCACAACCUUGUGCUUGCCAGACAGGCACUUAUGCCACUGAGCUAAAUCUCCAGCCCUACUACUUACAUUUCUUACCAGACCUUUAAAAUUGGAGUCUAUGUCAUACAUAGUGUUAAGUAACAUGAAUGUGGAAUGAAUGAAUGGAUAAUAAAUGUCUUUAUUUUCUUUCCCUUUAAUAUAGAACCAAAAAGCUUUUUCUCUUUUUGUAACCCAAUAAAUAAUAAACUGCCUUUGAUCAUUUCCUUUUGGGUAAAUAUCCUCAUUUACUAUGUCUAAGUCCCUCUCCAUGUUAGUUCAGUUUGCAUUCCUGGUACAAAAAACCUGAGGUAACCAACUCAAAAACAGGAGAGGUUUAUUUUGGAAGGUUUCAGUCCAUGGUGGAUUGGGCCUUGCUUCUGAGCCUUUGGUGAGGCAGUAGUGCAUCAUAGUGGGAACUUGUGGCAGGUAAAGCCAGUUCACCUCAGGCCCAGAACAAAGGAGAAAGGGGUUGGAGCUCCUGGACCUCCUUUAAGGGCCCAUCUGCAUUUACCCAACUUCCUUCCACUAGCCCCACCUUGUAAAGACUCCACUACAUCCUAGUAGUGCCACAGGCUGGAGGCCAAACCCAUUAACACAUUGGCUUUUGGGGGACAUUCCAAAUCCAAACUACAGCAGUAUCGUUUCAUUCUUGAUGGCAUUACCAGUCCUUCCUUGUAAUGUUUUCGGAAACAUUAUGCUUGAAACAGACCUUGAAAACAUUAUGCUGAGUGAAAUAUAUACGAUUACCUAUUGUGUGAUUCCAUGUCUAUUGAAAUGCACAGAAUAGGCAAAUCCAUAGAUGCAGAAGGGAAAUUAAUGGUUUCUGGAGCUGGGAAGUUACUGCAUAACAAACACAGCAUUUGUUUUUUUUUAAUUGACAGGUAGUAUUUUGCUGCAUGGAUAUACCACGAUUUUUUAUGCAGUUUUAUUUAUGAAAACUGAAACAUAUAUAUUGUUUACAUUUCUUGAUUAUUACAAAUAAUACUGCAGUAAACAUGUGUGUAUAAGACUUGUUUGGAUAUAUUCUCAUUUUUCUUGAGUAUGUACCUGUUAGUGGAAUAUCUGAGUCAUAUGGGCUCAAUAGAAAAAGCUAACUCAAACUCGAACUCAUAUUCUCCUACCACAUACACAACACAGGUCAUUUCUGUAAUCCCAAAAUGUGAGAGGAUUUUUUUCCACUAAUAAGCAAGCAGCUCUGUAGAAGCAAACACAAACUGGACAUUCCAUAAUUCAGUGCUGAUGCAACGGGUUGAGGGCUCAGUUGCCAGGAUUACUCUUAUCAGGUUGUUUUGCCUGUGCUUCUGAUCAGUCAGCUAUGAAUCAGCAUUCCUACAAUUCCUUCCUUCUGUUCAGUCAGUUUGCACAAGUAACUCAGUGCACAGGGAACUUCAUGCCCUCUAUGAGUGCAGCAACCUCCAGGGUCCUUCACAGUUCAGCGAUCCAGAAACUCUUAGUAUCCAGCAUUUUUGAGUUUUUUGGAGAUGUCAUUGUGUAAGUGUGACUGAAGCAGGACAAUUGUGGGAAUGUGAUUGGACAAAAGGGUGUAAUCUACUACUAUUAACAAACAGAUUGAGUGAGAAACCCAGUAAAGCCUGCUUGUUCACAUUAUUCUUGCCCUUUCUGUAGAGCAUUCCUUACUCCAGGGUAUGGGGCAGGUUGCAUUCUGAAACAAGGAUCUUAUGAUCUAUCAUCAGACAAGAUCAAAGAAUUUGUUUAUUUCUAAUUCUGAGACAGAAAGGCAAGAGAUGAAAGAUUUGUAACCCAUUUUGAGGAAAAGAAAUUCUAGUUUCUGUCAUUUGCCCUGGAAAGGGAGUUAUGAGGAAGAAGCUAUGGGUAAAAGCCAAAAAAUAUAUCACAUACGGGAAUAAUAGAUCAUUGAAUAUUUGUGGGCCUCUUGUGUAUUCAUAUAUUGAAAUUCUAACAUCAUGUAAUGAAAUUGGGAGAUAGGGCCUUUAGGGGGUAAUUAGGUCAUUAGGAUGAAGCAUUCAUAAGUGGGAUUAAUGCCUUUAUAAGAGCUUAUUCGUUAGUGAGAAUAAUGCCUUUAUAAGAACUUUCCAGUCCUCUUUUCUCCAUGUAGAGAUACCAGAAGAAAACAGCUAUCUGCAACCCAGAAGGGGCCCUAAUCAUAACCUGACCAUGUAGAAGAACCCUGCUUCCAGACGUACAGCCUGCAGAAAUAAAUGUAGAAGCUCAUUGUAGUGGCUCACAGCUGUAAUUCCAGCACUUGGGAGACUGAAGCAGGAAGAUCCUUGGGAGUUCAAGACCAGCCUGGGCUGCAAAGUGAGCUCAAGGCCAAUCUGAACUGCAUAGUGAGAUCCUAUCUCAAAAAGAUUUAAAAAAAAAAAAAAAAGGAAAGAAAGAAAGGAAUGUAUUAAACACGCUGGAGGCAGGAACCAUGGCUUCUUAUAUAUAUCGACCCUUCAAUAAGUAUUAAGCAGAAGAAAUGAGUAGACAACUGAGUUAUCACAUAGAGAAAAUUAUGUAGGCUUCAAGGAAUUGAACAGACUGAUAGCUGAGAAGAAAGAAUUUGUAAGGUAUUUUGGAAGAAAAAAUGAAAAAUGGGGCUGUGAAUCUGGUCCAUAUUCCAAAGGAUUCUAAGAAGAUCAAAGUCACAGAGGGGAAAAAAAUUAAAUAUGACUUUUAGAAGCCAGAAUGGUAGUCAUCUCAUGUAUGUAGUUACUUUUCUUGUUGGUGAUACAAAAUGCCUGACACCCAAAGUUAAAAGGGGAAAGGUUUAUUUAGCUCAUAGCUUGUAGAGUUGUUAGUCCAUAAUUGUCUGUCUCCAUGAUAGGGUGGUCUGGUAGACAGCAUUGCUGAAGAGAAACAGUUUAUGGCAAGCAGAAGGACUGCAAAAGCAACAAGGGAUAAAACAAACCUCUUUCUGUCCCUUAUAUUGUAUCUAGGCUACUGGGGUUAGGGUGGUGCCAAACCAAUUAGUGGACUGAUUUAGUUGUCAUCCUCCCUUAAUCCUAGCUUUGCAUCAUGAAUCAAUCACACAUUCUAGUUUCUGAAAAAGCCCUACCUGUGACAGCAUUAAUCUUCAGGGGGACAUCUAGACACAAGCUAGACAUACACAACAUUUUGCCCCUCAGCCCACAAAGACUCAUGUACAUCCCUGUAUGAAAAAAGCAUUUAGUUCAUCUCCAAGAGUUGCCAAAGUCCUGUUUCAGAUUGCUGAAAAGUCCAAGUCCAAAGUCUCCUCUGAGAUUUAAGGCAAACUCUUAUGUCCUUGUACAAAUGAAAAAGUUCCAACAUAGAAUGGCACAAGAUAAACAUUACCAUUCCAAAAGGUACAAAAAGGGAAAUAGAAAAGAAGAACAAAGCAAUUCUAAAAUCAAGGAGGGCAAACAUUAAGUCCUAUAGUUUCAUGUACAGCAUCCGAGGCAAUUUGUGGCAAAAUGUGAGCACUAAAAGGCUUGAGUGGCUCUACUCCUGUGGCACUACAGUUCGGUGUAGUUUCCAUAACUUUUCUCUUGGGUUGUCUUUGCUCCCUUCUCUUAGUUUCCCUCAGACAAUCUACAUUCCUGGCUUCUCUAAACUUCUGGUGCUCCUCCAGUUUCAUACUCAGUUUUGCACACCGUCCUUUCAUGGGCACACUGCCUGGCCUACCAGGCCUUCUUUUCAGAUCUGGCUGGAAUCAUUCAUGACCCUACACCUCUUGCACUCUGUAUGCUCCUAAAACCUUUAAUAUUUUCCCCUUUAACUUUGGGUGUUAAAUCCAAAACUAGCAUCACACGGAUGAUGCCAAGGUCUGCUGCCAGCUGGAGCAGUAGCCAGCUUCCUUCUCUCUUGGCUAGGAUCCAAUGCCUGUGAACUCAGUCCCAAGGAAUAACUUCUCUAAACCACUGCCAUUCUGGAACGUGGCACUCCAGGAGUCGCUUCUCAAAGAAGUCUUUCAUUUUUGCAAUUUUUAGACUGCAAAGGAUAGAGUCUUGUUCCUUGUGAUAACCUCAAGCUAUCUUUUCUAGUCUUAUAUUCCUUCUCAGCAAUCAAGAUCUCCUUUGCUCUAUUUUGUAGUCCACAGCUUUACUGGAGCUUCCUUUCUGCCAAAUUCAAAAUGUUUAAAUCACUCUUUUUGGCUAUUUGCUAUUGAUUCUCAACAUAAAUACAGCUAAAAUCCUGCAACAGUAGCUGUGACACAGCCCUAAUAUUAGACUGCCUUGAAAUUUUUUCUGCCAGAUUAAUUAGUCUACCACCUUUAAUCUGAGUCUCAGGCAAAGUGUCUGGACAUGCACAGUGCAGGCAAACUUUCUGCUAAUGCAUAACACACAUCAUCAGAAGUCCAACAACCAGUGCAGUCCUUCUUCCUAACAGAAACCUCCUGAGCCUGGUCUUUGUCAGCAAGAUUUCUAUCAACCAUCUCAUCUUCUGAGCUCUGACAAGGCUGUUCCACCCAAUAAAGUUUAGUGUUCCAGCUCUACUUUUGCAGCUAGUACUACUAGUUCCAGCUACUACUAGUUGCAGCUAGUUCCAGCUACUUUUGCAGCUCUCUGAACCUUCCCUAACUCUUUCCCUUCUUACAAGCCAUUUCCAAAGGCUCUUGAGCCAGAUGGUCAGGUAAUGUCACAGCAAUUACCCCACCCCUUGUACCAGAUUCUGUCUUAGUUACUUUUCUUGUUGCUUAGACAAAAUUCUCAACACCCAAAGUUAAAGGGGGAAAUAUUAAAGGUUUAUUUAGCUCACAGUUUGUAGAGCUUUCAGCCCAUAAUCUGCUGGCUCUAAGCCAGUGUGACUUGGAAAAUGGGUAUCACAGCACAGAACUUGUAAAUGGCAAGCAGAAAGCAGUGAAAGCAAGCAAAGGACAAAAUAAUCCUCUUUCUGUCAUUCAUAUUGUAUCUUGACUACUAGGGUUAGGGUGGUGCCAUACCAAUCAGUGGGUUGAUUUAGUAAUCACCCACCUUUAAUUCUAGCACCCUUAGUACUAGCAUUGUACCAUGAAUCAAUCGCAUACUCAGAUUCAGUCAGCUCUGAAAAAGAUUCACCUAUGACUGCAUUAGGCUUUGGUGGGGGGUUAUCUAGACACAGGCCAUAACAUCAUCCAUUCCCAUAAGGCCAAGUAUUAAAUACAACUGAAGCAGUAGAUUGAUCAGAGUGCAUACUUGGGGAAGAACUUAGCAGUUUUUCUGUUGUUGGAUCUCUGUUAGAAUUUUAAGUAUAGACUCAGAAAUUUAACAGUAGACAUCAAUGAAGACUUCAAGUUUAUUUAUCAGAUGGUUGCUUAUAAUAAUAAGUUCAUGUGUGCAUUGUUUGAUAAUUUCAGUAGACAAGUAAUUAUUCCAUUUUGUAGAUGAAGAAUUCAGAAUUCAAAAAGCUUAAAUAUUUUUAGCUAGUAAACUUUGGAAAAAGACUGAAAAUUCAGGUAUUCUGACUUCUUUCUCUCUAUGCUUAUUGAACUACAGUAAUUGACAUUCAUAUUCUAUAUUAAGCGUAAAGGUGUUCUCUAGUUUCUUGUCCAUUAAAUUCUAUAAUCAAAGAAGCUACUGGACAUCUCCUUUUAUUCUUUACUAAAAUAAAGUCUGCUGAUGAGGUCUAAAUAAGCAGACAUACAUCAUGGUUUUUCUUAGCUAUGCGUGUGGAGUUUUCUUGUUUUGUUUUGUUUUAUCUUUUUGAGAAAAGGUCUUGCUAUGUAGGUCAGGCUGGCCUGAGCUCACUUUGUAGCCCAGGCUGGUCUCGAACUCACAAGGAUACUCCUGCCUUAGCCUCCCAAAUGCUGGGAUUACAGGUGUGUACCACCACACCCUGCAGCUAUCUGUGUUCUGAAGAAAGCACAAAAAGAAAUAUAAAAAUCUUAAAGUAUGAAUAGUUAAUUUAUUCGAGUUUUCCAUUACAAAUCAGUGGCCCUUAAAGAUUCUUUUCUCAUUUAAAGUUGAAACAGAGCCAAGAAUAUUUUCCAGGUCUUUGUGGAAAAGAGCAGAGACAGAAAUUAUUUUCAUUUAGUCCCAAAUUAGCUUUAAAUGCCACACUCCCGGCCCUAAACCUAAGCACUUGAAAAGUUGUGAUUUUUUUUUUUUUUUUUUUUUGAGAAAAGGUCUUACUAAGACUUUGAAUUCACUAUAUAUGUAACUGAGGCUGGCGUCUAAUUCACGGCAAUCCUCUUGCCUCAGUCUUCUGAGUGCUAGGAUUACAGUUAUGUGCCACCAUGCCUGGCUUUGAAAAUCUAAUUCUUUUAACAGUUUUCAGACUAUGUUACUUUACAAAUUUCUUUCAACUGUGGUUUUUGUUUUAAUGAUAAUGUUGAGCCAAUGAUUUAACCUUUCUAUUUUCUUUGAAUUUUGAUGAUUCUGGCCAAAAUCCCCUAUCCUAUAACUGAUAUGCCUGUGGUUAUGCCCAGAGCAGGGACCACAACACAGCUCUCCUGCCUGUUGAUUCUAUUGCAGUAACCCUUGUCCAUAUACUGACUUCUGUUUCUUUUAGGACUGGGGAGAUUAUGAAUCCUAAAACAUAAAAAUGUACCUUUCAGAAUAUCCAAAGUCUCCCCAUAAAUUUUUGGUGUCCUUCUCAGACUAUCUUCUUACCCUUUAGGUAACAAGUCACUUGGAAUACCUUGACGUCUCCUCUUGGGGAGGCCAACCUAGUGCAACUGGAGCUUACAGAUGAAAAGAUUUUGAGGUGGAGGAUUCUCACCCAGAGAUUCCAAAUGGCCGUAUAAUAUCUUUUCUUUUUCCUCUUUAUCUAAGAAACUGACUAGAAUAGAGAGGUUGCAUAUUACACCAAAAAAAUGUACCCUCAAAGCCCCUGAGCAACACAAAACCUCAAAGCUAUUUUACUUUAUUUACCGUUGAGCAUCUUGGGUAUAUUACAUUUAUCUUCUCAUAACUGAAAGUCUAAUUCAUUACCUCCCAGGCAUAUACAUUUAGUGUGAGGCAUUUAUACUUUAUAGAGGAAGAGAAAGAAAUAAACAUUUGUAAAGCAUCUGUUACAUGUCAUAUAAUGAUUAGUACUUCUCUUUAUGUCUAUUUAUUUAUUGGUACCAGGAAUUGAACUGAGGACCUUGUGCUUAGCAGACAGACGCUGUGCCACUGAGCUAUAUCCCUGGCUCUUUAGGCCUUGUUUUAAAUUCUGACACAUAUAGUUGAUAUUCAUCUCCUCCUUUGACAAAUGAAAAGAAUUUCAGUGUAUAAAAUACUAAAAAAUAUUAUAAAUAAUUUUCAGUAUACAAAGUACUUUAGGAACAUUUGAACCAGAACUUACAGAAAGCAAUGAAAGCCAUCCUCUGACGGAACUUUAUGACUGAAUCCCUACAUCACACAAAAAAAGGAGUCCAAAUAAUUAACCUGAUGAUGGAUCUCAAGGUCCCCAAAAAACAAAAACAAUCCAAACUCAAAACUAGUACAAAGAAACUAUGAAGGCGAGAGUGGAAAUGAGUGAAAUUGAGACCCCCCCAAAAAAUACAGAGGAUUAAUGAAUUGAAGAGUCAGUUCUUUGAAAAAUCAAAGAAAAGGACACUUAGCCAAUCUAAUUAGAAUAAAUAGAAAAAAUACCCAGAUCAGUGCAGUUAGAAAUGAAAAGAUAAAAUCACAACAAACACUGCCAAAAUAGAAAACAUUAUCAACAACUGCUUUGCAAACCUGUACACCAAUAAAUUAGAGAAUUCAGAAGAAAUGAAUAGAUUUCUAGAUACACUGAAUUACCAGAAUGAAACCAAGAUGAUUUUAAAAUCAUGAACAAUCCAAUAACAGAUAAUGAAAUUGAAGCAGUUAUAAAUAAGAUACCACUAAGAAAAAUCCACAUCCAGAUAGGUUCACUGCUAAACUUUACAAAACUUUAGGAAAGUUCUAACACCAAUACUUCCCAAGCUUUUUAAUGAAAUUGAAAAAUAAGCAGUACUCCUAAAAUCAUGCCUGAAAGCUAACUUUAACCUGACUGCCAAACCAAAUGGGCACUCAAACAAAAAAAAACCAUAGACCAAUCUCUUUAAUGAAUAUAGAUGCAAAAAUCCUUGACCAAAUACUGGGAAAUACAAUGCAGCAAGUCAUCAAAAAGAUCAUAUAUCAUGACUAAAUAGGCUUCAUCCUAGGGAUGCAGGAAUGAUUCAACAUAGGUAAAUCAAUAAACAUAGUCAUUUAGAGAGGAAACAAUAAAAAUCACAGAAUCAUCUCAACAGAUGUAGAAAAAGCCUUUGACAAAGAUCAGCAUCCUUUCAUGAUAAAAACACUGAAGGAAAUAGUUAUAAAAGAACCUUAUCUCACUGGGUGUAGUGGCACAUACCUAUAAUCCUAACACUUGGGAGGCUGAAGUAGGAGGAUUGCUGUGAGUUAGAGGGUUAGAGUUUGAGACCAACAUGGCCCACAAAAUGAGUUCAAGCCUGAACUGCAUAGUAAAUCUCUAUCUCAAAAAAGAAAAGAAAAGAACCUUAUCUCAACCUGAUAAAAGCCAUCUAGGAGAGACCUACUACAAUAUAUUAAAUGGGGAAAAACUGAAAGCUUUCUGUUUAAAAUAAGGAGCAAGACAAGGAUGUCCACUGUCACUGUUCCUGUUCAACAUACCAGUAGCAGUGGAAACGUUACCAAGAGCAAUUAGGAAAGAGAAGAAAAUAAAAGAGUGUUAGAUAAAAGGAAGAAGUCAUCUUAUCAUUAUUUGUAGAUGACAUGAUCCUCUACAUAGAUAACCCAAAAAAUGCCCAAAAAAACUCUUGUUAAUAAUAAAAUUCAGUAAUACAGCAGGAUAUACAGCCAAUGCACAGAAAUCAGUAACAAUGUGAGGGCAAUCUGACUGUGACAUCUGUCACUCCAUUGAUCACCACUGUUGAUUUGCCUAAUCUGGCUGACCAGAUAGCUGUCCCUUCCUCCCUUGUGGCUCCAUAUGCCCCCUUUUUGAAGCUGUAUACUCUGAAAAAGAAUUUUCUCUGUCAAAGGUAUAGGAGCUCCCUUGCUAGAACCUCCAAACAAGCUCUCACAGUCCUUGUGCUGGUGUGAGUCUGUAAUUCAAGCACUCACUUAAUUUGGAGGCUGAGGCAAAGCAUCUCCUUGAGUUCAAGUCCAGCCUGAACUGCAUAGCGAGACCCUGUCUCAAAAAAGACAAAAAAAAGAAUGCUAAAUUAUAAACAAAAAGCAAAAUAAAAAAUAAUAGGAAGAAGGGAAAUAAAUUGUUCCCAAAGGGAAGGUAGAAUACAAGGGGAAGGAAGAGGGAGAGGGGGGAUAGGGAAUGAAUAAAAAAAGAUUGGAAGGUGUUUGUACAUGUACUAAUUCCAUACAAGAAAUAUAAUCAUUAUAUACUACACACAUGUGCUAAUAUGAUAAAAAAAUUUUAAAAGAGUAUCUGAGGGGAAUGCUAAUUCUACCAUAGGGACUUUGUGAAGAUAUCUCAGAGGUAAGCUAAUUUUCAAGGAUUAAGAAAGAGUUUCCAAUGGAACAAGCACAAUAAAGAGCCUAAUACUACACCUCAGGCUACUUACAAAAAGAAGUGCAAGUCAAGCUUAUAGCUCAGAAAGACGGAAGGAAAUUAUAAAAAUGGAACAGAAAUUAACGCAAUUGAGACUAUGAAAGCAAUAUACAGAAUUAACAAAUUGAAGAGUUGGUUCUUUGAAAGAAUAAAUAAAAUUGAUAAACCUCUAGGCAGCCAUAUCCAAAAAAAGAAAGAAACAUUCAAAUUCAUGCAGUAAGGAAUGAAAAGGAUGAGAUCAGUAUAGAUCAUGUGUAAAUUCAGAAGAUCACCAAUACAUACUUUGAAAAUCUUUACUCUCAUAGGAUGGAAAAUUGGAAAAAAUGGGCAAAUUCCUAGAAACAUGAAUUGCCAAAGCUGGAUCAAGAAGAUAUAAAAAUUCUGAAUAAUGCAGUAUCAGUUAACAAGAUUCAAAAUGUAAUUAAAAACUUACCAACAGAGAAAAGCUCAGGUCCUGGUGGAUUCACAGCUGAAUUCUACAAGAAACUUAGAGAGUUAAUACCAAUACUCCUCAAACUCUAAUUGAAAGGGAAUUCCUAGAGGCAGGUAUUAAUUACCCUGAUACCAAAGCCAGAGAAAAACACAAUCAAAAAUAAGAAUUACAGGCCAAUCUUCAUAAUGAACAUGCAAAGAUACUCAAUAAAUGCUAGGAGAGUACAGCAAAUCAUCAAUCCCAUGACCAAGUAGGAUUCAUCCCAGGAGUGCAAGGAUGGUUCAGCAUGUACAAAUCAGUAGAUGUAAUUCACCAUAUAAACAGAGCCAAAGAAAAAAAAUCACAUGACCAUCUCAAUAGAUGCAGAAAAACUUUUGACAAAGUCCAACACUCAUUCAUGCUAAAAGCCCUUAGAAAAUCAGUGUAGGUAGUCUUUACAUCAAUCUGGUAAAAGCCAUCUAUGACAGACCAUCAGCCAACAUUAGGUUGAAACUGAAAGCUUUCAAAGUAAAAUCAGGAGCAAGACAAAGAUGUCCAUUAUUGCUACUGCUAUUCAAUAUAGUCCUAGAAACAUUAAUUAGCCAGAAAAAUUAGACAAGAGAAAUAAAAGGAAUAUGAAUAGGAAAAGAAGUGACUUUAUCAUUAUUCACAGAUGAUAUGACGUUCUACAUAGAAAAACCCAAAAAUGCUACCAAAAGGUUUCUAGAUUUAACAGCCAGAUCCAGUAGCAUAGCUGGAUACAAAGUCAGUAUUCAAAAAUCAAUAGCAUUCCUGUACACAAAAAACAAACUCACUGUGAGAGAAAUCAGGAAAACCACACCCCUCAUAAUAACAUCUAAAAAGAAAUGAAAUACUUAGGAAUCAAUGUAACAAAGCAAGUAAAAGAUCUGUACAUUGAAAAUUACAGUACUCUGAAAAAAAUUGAAGAGGAUCUCAGAAAUAAAGAGAUAUUCCUUGUUCAUGGAUAAAAAGAACCAACAUUGUGAAAAUGGCCAUAUUCCCAAAACUUACACAGAUUUAAUUCAGUUCUGAUCAAAAUACUAUUAACAUACUUCACAGACAUAAAUUCCUAAAAUUCGUCUGAAACCAGAAGAGAUUUAAAAUAGCAAAGGCAAUCCUGAGCAACCCCUUACUUGAAAUUAUGCUACAAAGGUACAGUGAUAAAGUCAGCACUGGUGCUGGCAAAAAAGCAGACCUGAGGAUCAGUGAAACAAAUUAGAAGAUGCAGAAAGAGCUAGAAACACACUCAGCCACUUUAUCUUUGAUGAAAGGGCCAAACAUGUUCACAAAAAAAAAAAAAAAAAAAAGCUUCUUUAAGAGAAAUGGUGCUGAAAAAACUGGCCUUCUAUAUGCCAAAGACUGAAAUUAAACCCAUGUGUAUCAUCAUACACUAAA